AACGACUCUCGGCAACGGAUAUCUCGGCUCUCGCAUCGAUGAAGAACGUAGCGAAAUGCGAUACCUGGUGUGAAUUGCAGAAUCCCGUGAACCAUCGAGUCUUUGAACGCAAGUUGCGCCCGAAGCCAUCAGGCCAAGGGCACGCUCUGCCUGGCGUCACGC
rnacentral:rRNA from 1 species